rnacentral:rRNA from 1 species
GAUGAACGCUAGCGGCAGGCUUAAUACAUGCAAGUUGAGGGGCAGCAGGACUGUAGCACUACAGUUGCUGGCGACCGGCAAACGGGUGCGGAACACGUACGCAACCUACCCAAAACUGGGGGAUAGCCCGGGGAAACCCGGAUUAAUACCUCGUAACCUUUUUAAGUGGCAUCACUUGAUAAGUAUAGCUCCGGCGGUUUUGGAUGGGCGUGCGCCUGAUUAGGUAGUUGGUGCGGGUAACGGCCCACCAAGCCUGCGAUCAGUAACUGGUGUGAGAGCACGACCAGUCACACGGGCACUGAGACACGGGCCCGACUCCUACGGGAGGCAGCAGUAAGGAAUAUUGGUCAAUGGACGCAAGUCUGAACCAGCCAUGCCGCGUGAAGGAUGAAGGUCCUCUGGAUUGUAAACUUCUUUUAUGGGGGACGAAACCCGGAUAUUCUUAUCCGAUUGACGGUACCUCAGGAAUAAGCACCGGCUAACUCCGUG